rnacentral:rRNA from 1 species
AUUGAACGCUGGCGGCACGCCUUACACAUGCAAGUCGAACGGCAGCACGGGUGCUUGCACCUGGUGGCGAGUGGCGAACGGGUGAGUAAUACAUCGGAACGUACCUUAUCGUGGGGGAUAACGCAGCGAAAGCUGUGCUAAUACCGCAUACGCCCUGAGGGGGAAAGCGGGGGAUCGAAAGACCUCGCGCGAUUAGAGCGGCCGAUGCCUGAUUAGCUUGUUGGUGGGGUAAAAGCCCACCAAGGCGACGAUCAGUAGCUGGUCUGAGAGGACGAGUAGCCACAGGGGGACGGAGACACGGCGCAGACGCCUACGGGAGGCGUCAGUGGGGAAUUUUGGACAAUGGAGGCAACCCUGCUCCAGCAAUGCCGCGUGAGUGAAGAAGGCCUUCGGGUUGUAAAGCUCUUUUGUCAGGGAAGAAACACCGGCUCUAACACAGUCCGGGAAUGACGGUACCUGAAGAAUAAGCACCGGCUAACUACGUGCCAGCCGCCGCCGUAA